rnacentral:rRNA from 1 species
GGACCCGCACAAGCAGUGGAGUAUGUGGUUUAAUUCGAUGCAACGCGAGAAACCUUACCUGGUCUUGACAGUGACGGAAGGCUCAGAGAUGAGCUGUGCCCUUCGGGGAGCCGGAAACAGGUGGUGCAUGGUUGUCGUCAGCUCGUGUCGUGAGAUGUUGGGUUAAGUCCCGCAACGAGCGCAACCCCUAUGUUUAGUUGCUACGAGAGAGCACUCUAAAGAGACUGCCGUUGAUAAAACGGAGGAAGGUGGGGAUGAUGUCAAAUCAUCAUGCCCUUUAUGACCAGGGCAACACACGUACUACAAUGGCGAAGACAGAGAGAAGCGAACCUGCGAAGGGGAGCAAACCUCAAAAGUCGCCCAGUUCAGACUGUAGGCUGAAACUCGCCUACACGAAGUUGGAAUUGCUAGUAAUCGCAGAUCAGCAUGCUG